UACGAAGGGGGCUAGCGUUGCUCGGAAUCACUGGGCGUAAAGCGCACGUAGGCGGGUCCUUAAGUUAGGGGUGAAAUCCCGGAGCUCAACUCCGGAACUGCCUUUGAUACUGGGGAUCUUGAGUCCGGAAGAGGUGAGUGGAACUCCGAGUGUAGAGGUGAAAUUCGUAGAUAUUCGGAAGAACACCAGUGGCGAAGGCGGCUCACUGGUCCGGUACUGACGCUGAGGUGCGAAAGCGUGGGGAGCAAACAGG
rnacentral:rRNA from 1 species